CUUGUUUAAAACAGUGAACAAAAAAUAUAUAGCAAAAUCAAUAUUAAUCAUCGGCGAUUAUUAAGCGGCGCUUGCGCAUCGCGAAUAAUUUAAAUGCUGAAUCUCUACACAUUAGUAAUUUAUAGAAGCUUAUAGUAGUGCCAAUUUUGUUAUUGCUGUUUAUAUAACUAUGUGUUUAGUUACAUUGCCAAUGGUGCUAAAACUAACUACGAUUUCUAAGUAAGAGAAAAGCUGUAAGCCGUGAAUAGCACUGGCAAGUAGCAGCUUAAGAGUGACUCUGGGUACCAAAUGCUUAAUCAUCGUCUAUUUUUGAGUAUUUGCUUAGCUCCCAUUACUUUGCUUCUCUUUAUGAAAAUGGAACGUUUAUGCCUUGAUGGAAUGGAACGCAUUAUGAGUAGUCAAUUUUUUUUUUAUUUUUAAAGUUGUGAAGUAGAUUAAGGUGCGUGCACCAAAACAUUUUAUACUCUCGCAGUUGGUAGUCAUAGAAACUAAUAUUGGUCAGAAAAAUUUAUAAUAAAAAGUGAAGAAUGAGAAUUCAACUUUCGUUAUUACACAAUAUUAUGUAUCGAUUAAAAUUGAAUUUGGUUGACUGAAUCUGGUUAUGUCUGCGUAAGUUAUAGCGACGGCAGCCUUGAAAGGCGAUUAAAAUAUGAUACAUACUGUUUUUCAGUUGUAUUUUUGUUCGUUUCAGUUUUGAACAUUAUUUAAGGAGCACAAAAAAAUCAAUUUAUACAAAAAAAUUAUGUUUUCGAAAAAAGUAGAUUUAAGAAUUGUAUGGUUAUUUGCUCAUAUUCAUAAAAACGAAACAACAAAGCAUGAAAAAAUAUGUUUACGAGAGUUUAAUUUUUAUUUUGUAUUACUUCAAUUGUAAGCCAUUGAAAUAAUUUAUUGUUUUUAUUAUCCAAAAGUUGUCAACUUGUUCAGCUUGACUUGACAUUUUUUUAUUAUUACUAUAUCGACUAUAUUUGAAUCUAUGGAACAUAUAAGAUUGGAGAAAAUCUUGACUCGUAAGAUAAUGUCAAAUUUACUGGGUGACCAAAGAUUUAUUUUAUAUUUAUAGUAUUAUAUUAAAACCUUUCGUCGAGUGAAUUAAACCUUCUUAUAUAAUCCAUUAGCCAUUCGAAGUCCGUUUGAAACUUGUAGUUCCCUGCAUUUGUCAGAUAACCAGAAAUUUAAGAUAAGCUUCGUCUUAUUUUUGAACCCGUGCGAGUUUGGUGUGUUUCUGACUGUAAUCUAGGAGUUGUCAUAUAUGUAUGUACAUAAACUCGAAAAAAUGUACGGAGAAAAGACAGUUGGAUAACUAGUUAAAUCUGUGUUCAAAAUCAGUUACAAAAUCUUUAUAACUUGUUGAUUUAACUGCAGGGAAUUUACAUUGAAGAAGCGCACAUGCACAUGAAAAUCAUUCGCAGAGUGAAUUUUAUGUUAUAAGUUACAUUAUAUUUACAUAUACAUACGUACAUAUAUAUGUAUGUAAGAACGUAUACAUGUCCCUUAUUUAGAAGGAUAAUAAACGUACAUGACUAAACGAACACUGACAAUAAAAGACAACAAAAACAGUUCAGGGAUUGCUUUAUCCAAUGCAAAAACUGGCGCCAGCAUUCUUUGACCUAGUAAGGCCAGGCUGAAUUUCCUUUAACGUACAUACAUAUGUGCAUAUUUAUAUGUAUAUGUAUGUAUGU